rnacentral:ncRNA from 1 species
GUCGGGGAGCAAAUGUGAUUUAUCGCGUUUGCUGAGAUCGAGAUUCGAGACCCGUUGAACCUGAUUCAGUUAAUACUGACGUAGGGAACUAUA